AUUAAACGCUGGCGGCAUGCCUUACACAUGCAAGUCGAACGGCAGCACGGGGGCAACCCUGGUGGCGAGUGGCGAACGGGUGAGUAAAGCAUCGGAACGUGCCCUGGAGUGGGGGAUAACGUAGCGAAAGUUACGCUAAUACCGCAUAUUCUGUGAGCAGGAAAGCAGGGGAUCGCAAGACCUUGCGCUCUGGGAGCGGCCGACGUCGGAUCAGCUAGUUGGUGGGGUAAAGGCCUACCAAGGCGACGAUCCGUAGCGGGUCUGAGAGGAUGAUCCGCCACACUGGGACUGAGACACGGUCCAGACUCCUACGGGAGGCAGCAGUGGGGAAUUUUGGACAAUGGGCGCAAGCCUGAUCCAGCCAUUCCGCGUGCAGGAUGAAGGCCUCGGGUUGUAAACUGCUUUG
rnacentral:rRNA from 1 species